ACUCCUACGGGAGGCAGCAGUGGGGAAUUUUGGACAAUGGGGGCAACCCUGAUCCAGCCAUUCCGCGUGAGUGAAGAAGGCCUUCGGGUUGUAAAGCUCUUUCGGCAGGAACGAAACGGUGAGUUCUAACAUAGCUUGCUAAUGACGGUACCUGAAGAAGAAGCACCGGCUAACUACGUGCCAGCAGCCGCGGUAAUACGUAGGGUGCGAGCGUUAAUCGGAAUUACUGGGUGUAAAGUGUGCGCAGGCGGUUGUGUAAGACAGGUGUGAAAUCCCCGGGCUUAACCUGGGAACUGCGCUUGUGACUGCACGGCUAGAGUAUGGCAGAGGGGGGUGGAAUUCCACGUGUAGCAGUGAAAUGCGUAGAGAUGUGGAGGAACACCGAUGGCGAAGGCAGCCCCCUGGGCCAAUACUGACGCUCAUGCACGAAAGCGUGGGGAGCAAACAGGAUUAGAUACCCUGGUAGUC
rnacentral:rRNA from 1 species